GCGGGUGUGGCGGAAUUGGCAGACGCGCCAGAUUUAGGUUCUGGUGGCUUCACCGUGCAGGUUCAAGUCCUGUCACCCGCACCA
rnacentral:tRNA from 2 species